rnacentral:lncRNA from 1 species
AAUGAAACAUCAAGGUGAUAUAAAUAGCAUGAUGUAAUAGUUGGUAUACCACAGGAGCAAUGCAACAGGGUGAUCAUUGGACAGAACAUCAAAGGCCUUAUUGGUCUCAAUUUUGAUCUAUUACAUGAAUUUAUGCAUAAAUCGAGCAAUUUUGAAAGCAACUACAUUAUUCUUUAAGAAAAACAAGCCUGGAUUUAUCCAUAAAGCUGAACAAUGUUGAAAGCCUUAAGUCUGCCUUAUAACAAAAUUAUUCUUUAAGAAAAACAAGCAUGCAUUUACGCGUGAAACUGAACAAUGUUGAAAGCUUGAGAUCUAGAUUUUGCACACAAAAAUAACUGGGUUAAAAACCUUGAUGCAAGCAGACACAUCCACAACAUCACAUCCGUCCGCAAAACCGAAAAUAUACUAACACUUGAUGCUUUAAUAGCCAUCCUUUUGCAAUUUUCUCUUCGUGGACACAUGCAAACCCUGUGCAUCCCUGAAAAACGUUGAAACUUAGAGAUCAAGUAAAGAAAUGUAUGGAUGUAUAAUGGUUAUCUAUAUAAUUCAAAUUUCAUGCACUCAGUUUGUAUAUAUAUAAAGAGGAUAACAUGAUUUGUUGGCAUCAGGGUGAGAGACAAAUCUUUGAUGCACAGAUAGCUUGUAACAAUAAAGUUACCCAUAUGGUAGGCCAUACGGGAACAUCAAAAGCCGACAUUAUAGGAGAUUGUACUAUGGACGUAUUUUUGGGCAAAUGUAGAACCGGAUGGUAGCUUCGCAAUACUUAAGUAGACAAUUCGAAGCUACAAUAGCAUUAAUAAAAUCCCCAUGUGGAUUGAAGUAACAUAUGGUCUGUUUUUUUCUAUGAUGAAGAAGCGGUUACAAUCAACUGAAACUUUUGUAUCCCAACAAUUAAACAUGUUCAUAUAUAUUACCCAUACAAGUAGAGAGGAAGAUGCUUAUAGUACAGGAGUGCAGUUUCACAUUUUUCUUUAAAGUCGCCAAACCGCGGAUAUCAGUAGUAUAUGGAGAGUAUACCAAUUGGCUGGAGAUCUGAUCACCCUCAACAUGAUGAAGAGGACAGUGCACGGUAGACGCAAUGCCCUAGUACAGUAGAACGGUAAUAACGGUAAAAAAGGGUAAGGAAUAUGGCCUAUUAAUAAGUUAGCAAUAUGCAAAAAUAAAAAUAUACUGAAAGAUAAAUCAAUAAAUAAUUUCAGACUAUGCAGAAUGACAAAAUAUGCCUCUUAAUACAUAUAAACAUGUGAGAAAUUAAAUUAAAAACUGAAAAACAGGUCUUAAUAGACUAUUAUAAAAACUAAAUUAAUAUGCAACAUCAACAGUCAAUUCAGAUGACUGCAAAUCAAUCUUGCACUUUUGGGAGGAUGUCAUAUGUAUUGCAAAUUCUGAUGGUUGUUUGGUUUAAUCGAUUUCUCAACCUUGGUUGUAGAAAAUAGUGGUAUACAUUUUAAUCUAAAAAGGGAUGGUAUAAACAUUCACCGCUUAACAUAAAUAUGAGGAGAAGAAAAACAGAGGACACAAAUAAGGCAAUUAAAUUUAUGAACAUGGCAUGACAUCAUAGACUCUUAAUGUUGGUACAUGACAUAAAUUUGAUCAAUACAUCGGUAGCCAUGGAACAAAUGAACAAAGAUUAAUCACAGUCGGAAAUAAGAUAUCUUUCGAAAUUGAACACUAAAACUGUAUAUCAGUAGCUUAUUUCCACCACAUAGACACCCAAUAUUAUGUCCUGUACAGUAACAACAAACAGACCGUGAUAUCGAGAAAUUGAGCCAUCCAGUGACCAGUAAUAUUAAAACAAAAGCUUAGCGCACAUCAGAACCAAGAAACCAUAGCCCUCAAUCUCACAACCACACCAACAUCACAUGCACCAUCCUUCCAGAAUUUACAUGAAACAAUUUAAGCUAAACUUAUAUUUUCAGAACCAAUUCCAGUAGGAUGGACUAAAUUCAAGUUAUACUGUUGUGUUUCAGCAGCAUAGAUAUGUUAAUUAUUGGAGUGACUUUCAAUUACAGCUCUACUUUAUUCCUACUGGCUUCAUCCAUGCAAGAACUUGUCUUGGUGUAAGGAAGACAAGGUACUGUAAGUCCUACAACAUGUAAUUAGUGUGCAUCAGUAAAUCGCAUAUGUUGUUUAGAGCUUAUCCUCAACAACAAUAGUGUAGCAGUGUUUGAGAGUCUAGAACAGUAUACACAGUCAGUAGCAUCAAAUUUUACAAAUUGUAGGCACACAUACAUAUAAGGAUGAUAAGAUAUGUGAGUGAGACUCUAGAAGUGUAUACACAAUUAGACAUACAUAUGUACAAUAAGACAUGUGAGUACAUGUAUACUAACCUGGGUGCCAACCAUUGCAAAUUGUGAGCUUUAGAAGUGCCCAAACAAACCACCAGAACCCGUCGGUAGUUCCAAUAGAUCAACUGAGAUGUGAGAGCACCUGUAGCAGAAAAAGUGUCUGUCGUGAAUUGGGAGCAAAACAAGAAAGUGGUAUCAAUCAGAAGGGACUAAGUAUCAGUAGUAUCUUGAUGGAAGAUGUGAGGAAGGAGGGGAAAUAGGCCUGCAGUGGAAACCUGGCGAGAAGCAUGGCCAGAAGAUGUGACGUUGCCGAAUAAGGUUGGGGAAUGAGCAGUAGCAGGGUGGUGGAGAUUAUAUAGACGCGCAACGAUUAAAGGAAGAAACCGAACCCAAAUCGUGAGUGUCCUCACGCAUCUAAUAAAGGAAGAAGAUGAAUCACAUAAAGGAAGAAACUGAAUAAGAACCAUAAGCGACCUACAAUAAUCGGAUGCCGGAAAGAGUGGCACACAUCAAUUGCGAUUAAUGCCCGCAAAAACUACGAUUGAUUACGUGCUAAAUCACGGGCAAGUGGAUUCUAAUCGCAACCGAUGCGAAUGAGCAGUAGCAGGGUGGUGGAGAUUAUAUAGACGCGCAACGAUUAAAGGAAGAAACCGAACCCAAAUCGUGAGCGUCCUCACACAUCUAAUAAAGGAAGAAGAUGAAUCACAUAAAGGAAGAAACUGAAUAAGAACCAUAAGUGACCUGCAAUAAUCGGAUGCCGGAAAGAGUGGCACACAUCAAUUGCGAUUAAUGCCCGCAAAAACCACGAUUGAUUACGUGCUAAAUCACCGGCAAGUGGAUUCUAAUCGCAACCGAUGCUUCGGCCCCCCGUCCCCUUGGCGUCGCCCAGUGAGGUGACUAUGUCGUCGGUGGAGGUGCGGUUGCUUGCAUCGUAUGAAUCCACCGUCCGCGAGACAAGAACUGGAUGACGCACACCGGGAUC